CGUGUUCAUCGGGCAGUCGCCUCUGCGCAAGCAGGGGAGGAAAGUCCGAACUCCGCAGGGCAGGGUGCCGGAUAACGUCCGGGCGCCGCAAGGUGACGGAAAGUGCAACAGAAAACACACCGCCCGUCCCGUGUCGUUUCGGCGAUCCGGGAAAGGUAAGGGUGAAAAGGUGCGGUAAGAGCGCACCGGCGGUCUGGCAACAGGCCGGCCUGGCAAACCCCACCCGGAGCAAGACCACGUAGGAGUGCCGUCUCCGGAGCUGCGCGGCUCGCGCAGUGUUCGUUUCGGCGAACCGGUAUUCGGGUAGGUCGCACGAACCUCGCGGUAACGCGGGGUCCAGAUAGAUGACUGCCUCGUCCCGCUACGGCGGGAUAGACAGAAUUCGGCUUACAGAUGAACGCGGGUU
rnacentral:RNase_P_RNA from 1 species